rnacentral:sRNA from 1 species
GUGCCUGGUGCCCAUGCGUGCGUGUGCAUGUGGGGGUUGUGUGUUUAGGGGGGGCCUGUGUCUGCGCUGCAGAGCAAGAGGGGGUAGAGAUGCUAAGGUGAUGGCUGACAUGGCUCUGGGGUUUCCCUAGUCUCAGAAGUACUUGUUGCGUUCCAUCUUCGCCAGCGGCCUGGUGAAGUCAGCACUGCUUUUCCCCCCAUUUUGCAGAUGAGAUUUUGGGGCUCACCAGCGUCCCCCAUGGCUUCUGAGUAGCGCGGGAGUGGAGUCAGCACCAAGCCAGGCUCCCCGCGCCUGCCUUGCCUUCACCUGCUCCUGCUCUCUGCCAGAGGCAGCAUGGUCCGCAGGGCACCAUGGGGCCCGACAGAGUGACAGCACGAGAACUGUGCGAGAACGACGACCUGGCCACCAGCCUCGUCCUGGACCCCUACCUCGGUUUCCGCACCCAUAAGAUGAACGUCAGCCCUGUGCCCCCCCUGCGGCGACAGCAGCACCUGCGCUCAGCGCUGGAAACUUUCCUGAGGCAGCGGGACCUGGAGGCUGCGUACCGGGCCCUGACGCUGGGAGGCUGGACGGCCCGCUACUUCCAGAGCCGGGGCCCGCGGCAGGAGGCUGCCCUCAAGACCCACGUCUAUCGCUACCUCCGUGCCUUCCUGCCGGAAAGUGGCUUUACCAUCCUGCCCUGCACACGCUACUCCAUGGAGACCAACGGGGCCAAGAUCGUGUCCACUCGCGCUUGGUAAGAGGGCAGGACUCCCUCCGGGUAUCCUUGGAGGAGACAGAGCUCAGAGGGUACAAGAGAGACCCUCUGUUCAUGGACUGGCCAACCGGGGAAAAGAGAGGUGCCUGGUCCUCUGGGCAUCCUAGGAAGGUGGUGGGGCUAAUCCCGGAAGACCUUUGUGGCUACUGUGGUGCUACUGGAGCAGGAGACACCAGAUGUGACCCCAGGGUUCCUGGGGCUUCGAGGAAAGAACUAGGCUUCUGCUCAGGGCUGCACUGUCCUUACCUCCUCGUGACCUGAGCCCCCACCACGUGUUAAACACCCCUGAGUGCAGUGAGGAGCCCCUGCCCCUGCCCCUGCAGGGUUCACAGUCUGGUGGGGAGGCGGGUGGCAGACAAGUCAACAUACAGUCAUUGGUCCCAGCUGGUACACGCUGCAGGGGAGCUGUGAGGAAUGAGCAAGUGCUCCCAGGGCGAGGCUCACACUGAGAGGGGAAGCACCAGCCUGAGGGUCUGGUGGGGCGAGUAGGGGGUAGUCCAGGCAGGAGGGAAUUGGGGGCAGGAGGUGCUAUGAGAGCGAGGGGAGAGAAGGGGGGCUAUAUCUGCUGUGUGCGUGCUGUCCUGAAGGCUUUCAGCAGAAGGGUCCUGUGAGGCUGUGGGCUGGAGCAGGGAAGCCCACCCAGGCGGGAGGGGAAGAGGGAGAUCUGGAAGACUGGAUCGCCAGUAGCCAGCACCAGCGCACAGGAGUCCCUGCUUCCUGGGUGCCUCUGUGCCGGAGGCCCGAGUACCCCGAGCACCUGCAGGAGGCCAGGCAUCGCCCACAGCCCCGCCCCCUGGCCUCUUGGCAGGAAAAAGAAUGAGAAGCUGGAGCUGCUGGUGGGCUGCAUUGCAGAGCUGCGGGAGGCGGAUGAGGGGCUGCUGAGGGCCGGUGAGAACGACUUCAGCAUCAUGUACUCAACACGCAAGCGGAGUGCUCAGCUGUGGCUGGGCCCAGCCGCCUUCAUCAACCAUGGUGAGGGUCAGGCAGGUGGAUGGGCGGGACGGGACAGAGCCAGGCGGGGCUGGAGGGAUGUAGUGGGAGGGUUCUGCAACUGAGCUGCUGAGCUCAUCGACCUCUCUUCUCUCUCCUGCCCCGACUGGCUCCAGACUGCAAACCCAACUGCAAGGUAAGUCCCUGGGACUCGGGAGGAGUGGGCACGCGGGAAGAAAGGGUGCCUGUGGCCUGGGGAAAGGGUUUUUGGUCAGUAAAGAGCCAAACGCUGGCCAGGUGCGGUGGCUCACGCCUGUAAUCCCAGCACUUUGGGAGGCCGAGGAGGGUGGAUCACGAGGUUAGGAGAUGGAGACCACGGUGAAACCCCGUCUCUACUAAAAACACAAAAAAUUAGCCAGGCGCGGUGGUGGGCGCCUGUAGUCUCAGCUACUCGGAAGGCUGAGGCAGGAGAAUGGUGUGAACCCAGGAGGUGGAGCUUGCAGUGAUCUGAGAUCGGGCCACUGCACUGCAGCCUGGGUGACAGAGCGAGACUCCGUCUCAAAAAAAAA